GGAUAUACCACAAGUGUAAAAAAUUAUGUUUUAUAAAAAUAUACACUUAGUAUUGCCUUUCUCUUUUAGCAGUUGAAUCUCAAACCAGUUGUAGUAAACUGGAUAAAAAAUGAAGGAGUUGCCUUAAGCACUUUAGAAAAAAGAAUUUUUUUACAUUUCAUUUUGACUCUUUGGACUGACUGUCACAUACAUCUUUAACUUUUCGUAAAUAUGUACAUACCAAAUAUUUACUAAGUGCACAUAGAAAUUUAAUAUACAGUAAUUCUUUGAAUGUUCCAGGUGUAGGUAGACAAUUUGAAAGUAUUAAAGGUGUGCCUGUCUGUACAGGGGUUUAACU
rnacentral:lncRNA from 1 species